rnacentral:tRNA from 2 species
GCGAGAGUGGCGGAACUGGUAGACGCGCUGGAUUUAGGAUCCAGUGGGAUAUCCCGUAGGGGUUCGAGUCCCCUCUCUCGCACCA